GUUGGCGAAGAUUUUUGGCCGUCAAAUUCGCAUUGGACACAGAAGAACUCAAAAUAUAUAUAUAAAUAUUCAAAUUUUUCUAUCAAAAUGCAACCAUGGCCUUAGUAUUAUAAAAGGACUGGCGAUAUGUGCAAGAAUUUCUGAGGUAAACGUUAUUUUUUAACCUGUUUUCGAUGAUUAAAGUUGGUCAUGCCGUGGCAACGUGAUGACUCAAGUCCGAGUCUGUUUACAAUUUUCAAACUAAAAAAUCUGGAAUUCCCACGGUUCGAUUUUUCGACAAAUGUCUAAACUAAAAAUCUGCUGGAGGGAUCCCCGGGAUCCCCCGGCAGUUUUCGAGAUAUUUGGCAUUGAAGUGACCAUACUCAAUUCAACCUUUGCCAAAAUGGCGUCUAAUAUCUGGGGAAGAUAUUGCGCCACCAAAGCUUGGUUUUCACAAUGAAUUUUGAAAGUCCCCCAAUAUUAGGAUCACUUUUCUUUACAGUAAGUGUUAAAUUACUUUUGAAGGACUAUUUAGAAGACUUAGGAGUUAUUUGCCUGUUUUACAGAUUUUAUAUCUGUGCUGGUAUUACUAGCCUGCAUGCCCAUCUCCUUGACAAGUGAAAUUGUCUGGUGGUAGAGACGAUUUUAAAAGAACAGCACAUUAUAAAGUGAUCAGAUUUUCUCUCAGUGAAAAAUUCUAUGUUCCUUUUUAAUUACAGCAGUUCAGAUGUCGAUAUAGAAUUGAAAAAGGGCUUAUUCCUGAACAUCCUGCAAGGGCAGGGCCAACUGACAAUGUUGAAGAAUGAAGACAUUUUAGCAUGGAUUACUAGUAUAGAUUAUAGUAUCUCUUGUCCUUUAUGAUGUCUUCCUGAAAGUUGUUGGUGAAUACAAAUUGAGCUGUGAUCCCUCAACGUGUCCAACAACAUGCUCCACCAAAUACCUGAGCACAAUAUAGAAAGUGCACAUACAUGCAGGGAUGGAUUUACUUGGGGGGGGGGGGUUGCACCCCCUAGCCAGAGGGGUGCACGGGGGUGCUAUUUUUUAUGAUAAAGCAAAAAAGACAAAAUAAGAUACAAUAAUUUGAGUAAUAACAUGAUGAUAAGUGAACUGUGAACAACAAUUACAAUUCAAAUACAGCAGUUGAUGGGUGGGCGGCACACAUGACCGACACAAUUCGGCAGUCGGCACCAGAGCACCCCCCCACCAGAUCAUGCUGGAUCCAUCCCUGCAUACAUGUACUGUAUCAUAUUUAAUUAAUGCUUGAGUAUAUUUGUUCAAAUUUAUUGAUAUUAAUAAAUAAUUAAAUUAUGUUUGUUAUAGUAGUGUACAUUUUGCACCAGCCACUCUUGAAAUUAGACGUCAGCCACUUUUUAACUAGAUGGCCAUGGAUGACCUAAGAAAUUGUUUUCUUUAUUAAACAGCAACUUGCAAGAGAACCAUUUAAGUUCACUAAGAACCAUUUAAGUUCAACUCAGCCCGAUUUUCACAGAACCAACUUUAAAAUGAACUGCAGUCGAACUUUACAACAUACAUUCCAAACUUACAAACAAACAUUGGUGGUCAGAUUUCAAAGACAAAUUGAAAUUGACAGCAAGAUGUAAUUUUAUUGUUGGGGAUGGGUUGGUGCUUUAGGGUUUAGGCUCAAUUCUUGCAGAAGGGUUACAUAAAGUCAGCAAUUUCAAAAUUAAUUACAUGGCUUGACAAAAUAAAUUCUAUUCAGUCACGAAAUAGGUAGAUGCAUUUAUUGAUAGCACAUGUUUUUUUAAGUUUAGAUAUAGGUAAUGAGAACCAUAUUGGUGUCCUAGUAAUAAAUUUAUGCCACAAUAAAAAAGCAAUAUUGCUAUUUUGAGGGACUUGCACAUGACAGAUAUUGUUUUGUUAUAGAUACACACCUACUUAUAUUAAAUGAUUUUUGUUUGGCAAUAAAGUGAAAGGUAAAAAUGCUGGAAAAAUCUAAAAAGUUAGCCAAUUUAAAUGACAUUUCUAUAACUUGCUAAACCUAGUCAGUUACUAUUAUUUCACAAACAUCUGUCGACAUACACUCAUGCCCCUCCU
rnacentral:lncRNA from 1 species